rnacentral:rRNA from 1 species
GAUGAACGCUGGCGGCGUGCUUAACACAUGCAAGUCGAGCGGAGUUAUGAAGAGGAAGUUUUCGGAUGGAAUCUUUGUGACUUAGCGGCGGACGGGUGAGUAACACGUAGGCAACCUGCCCUUAAGACCGGGAUAACAUUCGGAAACGAAUGCUAAGACCGGAUACGCAAGCCUGGGGCAUCUCGGGCUUGGGAAACACGGAGCAAUCUGUGGCUUAUGGAUGGGCCUGCGGCGCAUUAGCUAGUUGGUGGGGUAACGGCUCACCAAGGCGACGAUGCGUAGCCGACCUGAGAGGGUGAACGGCCACACUGGGACUGAGACACGGCCCAGACUCCUACGGGAGGCAGCAGUAGGGAAUCUUCCACAAUGGGCGCAAGCCUGAUGGAGCAACGCCGCGUGAGUGAGGAAGGCUUUCGGGUCGUAAAGUUCUGUUGUAAGGGAAGAACAAGUGCCGCAGGCAAUGGCGGCACCUUGACGGUACCUUGCGAGAAAGCCACGGCUAACUACGUGCCAGCCGCCGCCGUAA